ensembl:lncRNA
CUGUGAUGUGUAGCCACUUGACAUAGGAUCUCGGCUCCCGGGCCAGGGACUGCACCCAAGCCGAAGCGGUGAAAGCACCGCAUCCUAACCACACGGCCAGCUGGUAACUGCCGGCAGGUGUAUAAUGUUGAGAACAGCAAGCCAUCUAAGACACAAAGUGCAAUACGCCUUAGAGAAAGGACUGAGAGAGCUGAUGACACAGAAAUAAGUUCCUGCAUGACAAAAACGCAAAACAAGACAUAUGCGUACACUCGCCCAACUCCUACCACGCAGAAUAUAUUCCUGUAAUCAAUGAGAAGAGAGAAGCAAAGACUGGCAGAAGAACGUACUGGGAUGUGCUGAACAGGACACACAAGCGAUCGGGAAGCUACGAAAGGGGUCCGGUCUCACCAGAAAACAGAAACAGCGAAACACUUUACUUGGCAGGCUGAACACAGUGAAGCCGACAGUUCAUUCACCGAGUUGAUAAAGGCACGAGGAAAUGAAUGCUCUUCCCUGGCUGAGAGGAAUACAAACCCGCACAAGCUUUGAGGUGGCGGCUGAGAGCACGUUUUUAUUUUUCGGUCUUUUUAGGGCCACACCUGCGACACGUGGAGGUUCCCAGGCUAGGGACAAAAAAAAAAAAAAAAAAGAGGGAAUUUAUCAGAAAACAAUACAAAAAUCCCACGUCACGGUGAGAUGCGAGUGAUGUGUUAAAAACAGGGCAUCAAGAGGUGUGUAUGGGGUGCCCGGGUGGCUCAGAGCCCCCCACCAGUCUCCUGUUCUGAUCUGCUCCCCCAAACCCUGGCUGCCAGGCUGAGGCCUUCAGGCAAGAGACUGGAAGGUCAUUUUCUGGGGAAUCUGACCAGCCCAAAACACGGACACCAGGCGUCCAUCAAGGGCACAGCUCAGGCACAGCACUCUGCAGCGAGGGCCUCCAUCACAAGCAGGAGCCACCAGCCACCUCUGCAAAGCCCCACAUUAGGCCAGCAAGCCCAGGACCACCAGUCCCCCAAAAAAGCCCCGGUGCAGAGUCCAGAUGGUGCCAAGAGGACAUGGGAUCUGGAGGAAAGAAUCAGAGCAGGGAGAAGACGGGGAUGGAAGCACCUACUAAUCGCAGCAAGGCUAACGGGGGUAUCACAUCUGUGAAAAAAGAAUAAGCAGGCUAUAAAAAAUGCAGCCCCCCCCCCAAAAAAAACCCCAAAAGAACUCCCGGGAUCUCAGCUUGGGAAGAUAAAAAGGUUCUGGAGCUGGAUGGUGGUGAUGAUGGCCCCAGCGUGUGAAGCUAACUUCAUACUGAACUGUCCACUUAAAAGUGGUUCAGGUGGUAGGAUCUUACGUUGUGUGUGUGUUACCACGGUUAAAGUUGAAAACAAACGGAAAGAAUGCAAAGGUAUGAGAGCAGAAGUGAAGCACUUAAAAGAUUUUAGAAGAUUAGGUUAACAACGUCUCAGAAAGCAAACCGGUCAAAGAGCUGGAAAAAAAGGUGAAGAAAGAUACAAUAAUUAGGGACCAGGCUGGGAGAAAUCUGAGAAAAGGAAAACAGAGCAGAAGAAAUAGGCAAAGAAAUAAUUCAAGAAACUAAGGACAUGAGUUACUUUAUUGAAAGGGUGCACUGAGUGUCCAGUAUGAUAGAAAAACAAGAAGACAUACACAUGACAAGGCACAUGACCCUGGGAAGGUCAGGAUGCUGGGGACAGACGUUCCUACGAGCUUCUGUAGACAUGCCAUGUCACAUGCAAAGGAUGGAACUACCUUGUUCUCAGUGCAACACUGGAAACUGGACAAUGGAGUGAUGUCUCCAAAAUUAUGAAGGAAAAUAUUUUAUGACCCGAAAUUCUAUACCCAAUGAAACUACCAAGUGUUAGAGUCAACUAAAGAUGCAAGGUCAUAAAAUUUGACCUUCCAUGAAUUCUUGUUCAGAAGAUACUGAGAAUCCAAAAGAAGGGAGAAAAAAACAUAGCAUGGAACAACAGAGAUCAAAAAAUGGGAGAGGCAGAAAUUUAACAGUGAAACAAUCAAGCCCAGUUUGCUGGCUGGGCACCAGGCACUGAGGACGAGCAGGAGCAGGACGGAGGCGGUUGGAGGAGGUCAGAAGGCUCAGGGGGAAACGGGGGAAGCCCUGACAUGUAUGAUGUAAUAUGAUGACAGUCCAUGAGGGUUGGAUUGAAUGAGUGAUGAUCAUGUAGAAAACUAAAGUAAACAAAGAAACACAAAGAUGGUUAAAAAAAUACAAGUAGGAAGGAGUUCCCGUUGUGGCUCAGUAGUAAUGAAUCCCACUAGCAUCCACGAGGACAGGGGUUCGAUACCUGGCCUUGCACAGUGGGUUAAGGAUCCAGCGUUGCCGUGAGCUGUGGUGUAGGUUGCAGAUGCAGCUCGAAUGAUCCUGUGUCACUGUGGCUGUGGUGUAGGCCAGCAGCUACAGCUCCAAUUGGACCCUAGCCUAGGAACUUCCAUAUGCCACAGGGGGAGCCCUAAAAACAAACAAACAAACAAAAAAAACCAAGUAGGAGUUCCUGCUAUGGGGCAGUGGGUUAAGGAUCUGAAGUUGCUGCAGCUGUGGUAUAGGUGGCAGCUCUGGCUGGGGUUCAGUCCCUGGCCUGGGGACUUCCAUAUGCCUUGAGCGCAGCUGAAAAAGAAAAAUAUAAAACAAGACAAAACAAAAGGAUAUACAGAAAAGAGAAAGUAAGGCUGUUAUAAACUACUGGUCAUCUCAAGCAAAGACGGACCAACAAGGGAGUCUGGGGAAGGAGGUAUGUGGGCUCCUGAGAACUGAGAGACUCAGAAGAGAGUGGCAAGACCUGAGCUCUGACCCCUGCCUGACCUUCAGGCUCUGCAAGAGAUGGCUGGGCUGUGAGCCCAGACCCAUCCUACAAAGACUAGGGAGGUUUCCCACACAUUUGAGGAACUAAACUAAUGGAACUGAGACCGCACUGCCACACUCAGCAAAGAAUACGGACUCGACAAAACUGGUCUGAAGUCACUACACAAACAGGCACCCCGAAAACAGUGGAGGAGCGAUUCGGACUUGCAGAGCUGCCGCACUGUCAUACUCGAGACGCCCGUUUUCCAUAUCAAGGUUCAAGUACGCAGAGACGCAACAAAGUCUGGCACAUUCAUAACGGGAACAACGACAAGAAGCCAGGGAACUGCCCCUGAGACCCAGGCACGGGACUUACUAGACAAAGACUUGAAACCAAUCUGCCUUACGUACAACGAGGGAGCUCGAGGGGACCACAGACAAGAGCUUAAGGAACAAAACGAGAAAAUCUACAAAGCGAUCGAAGGUAUAAAAAGGGACCAAACUUUGCAGCUGAGACGUAUUACAACUUAAAUGAAAACUGUGAAAAGUGUUGGCAAAGACGGGAAGAAAGGGCAACCCUCGCCCUCGCUGGUGGGAAUGUAAAGUGGAGGCUGUUUGGUGGCGUCGCAAUGAGUUGAAUGUAGAUUUACCCGAUGAAGUAGCAGCGCUGUU